UUGAAUUGAAGAGUUUGAUCAUGGCUCAGAUUGAACGCUGGCGGCAGGCUUAACACAUGCAAGUCGAACGGUAGCAGGAGAAAGCUUGCUUUCUUGCUGACGAGUGGCGGACGGGUGAGUAAUGCUUGGGAAUCUGG
rnacentral:rRNA from 1 species